UCCUGAGAGUAUGGAAACAAAGCGGCAUAUAAUGCAAAAGAGUCACUCACCACGAGUGCAUCGCGCGAGAUUUUUAACUGCAGCAGUUUCGGGACUUUGGAUGAUGUUUUUGGCGAAGGGAAAAUGCAGAAAACCGCACAUGAUAUACGAACAAACUCCCCCCACCGCAGGGCGAGUACCCCAGGACUUGGAUCGGAUGGGAAGGAAAUGUGAGUAAUGUGCAGCUGGAAGAAAGACACAUCUCCCCCGAGAUAGGAGGAAGAGCACCGCAGCAAAAAUACUACUGCAAGCCCCAUUGGAUCUUUACUGUGGUUUUACGGACGCCUUUGCAUGAACAUUUUUUUCCUUCGUCGAAUAAAAAAACAACAUUGUUUAGUGUCCCCGCGGGAUGAUGGAAAUGAGAAA